rnacentral:rRNA from 1 species
UGACGAACUGUGAUGCCAUUAAUUUGGUGUCGCAGGGGAAUCAGGACUGUUACUUUGAAAAAAUUAGAGUCGUUUAAAGCAGGCUUUCGCUUGAAUACAUUAGCAUGGAAUAAUGAAAUAGGACGUUUGAUCCUAUUUUGUUGGUUUCUAGGAUUGACGUAAUGAUUAAUAGGGAUAGUUGGGGGCAUUAGUAUUCAAUUGUCAGAGGUGAAAUUCUUGGAUUUAUUGAAGACUAACUACUGCGAAAGCAUUUGCCAAGGAUGUUUUCAUUAAUCAAGAACGAAAGUUAGGGGAUCGAAGACGAUCAGAUACCGUCGUAGUCUUAACCAUAAACUAUGCCGACUAGGGAUCGGAUGAUGUUAAUUUUUUAAUGACUCAUUCGGCGCCUUACG